AACGAACGCUGGCGGCAUGCCUAACACAUGCAAGUCGAACGAGACCUUCGGGUCUAGUGGCGCACGGGUGCGUAACGCGUGGGAAUCUGCCCCUUGCUUCGGAAUAACACAGAGAAAUUUGUGCUAAUACCGGAUAAUGUCGCAAGACCAAAGAUUUAUCGGCAAAGGAUGAGCCCGCGUAAGAUUAGCUAGUUGGUGGGGUAAUGGCCUACCAAGGCGACGAUCUUUAGCUGGUCUGAGAGGAUGAUCAGCCACACUGGGACUGAGACACGGCCCAGACUCCUACGGGAGGCAGCAGUGGGGAAUAUUGGACAAUGGGCGAAAGCCUGAUCCAGCAAUGCCGCGUGAGUGAUGAAGGCCUUAGGGUUGUAAAGCUCUUUUACCAGGGAUGAUAAUGACAGUACCUGGAGAAUAAGCUCCGGCUAACUCCGUGCCAGCAGCAGCCGCCG
rnacentral:rRNA from 1 species